GAUGAACGCUAGCGGCAGGCCUAAUACAUGCAAGUCGAACGGUAAGGCCCUUUCGGGGGUACACGAGUGGCGGACGGGUGCGUAACGCGUAUGCAACAUGCCUUCCAGCGGGGGAUAUACCAGGGAAACUUGGCGCAAUACCCCAUAGAAUUACGGGACCGCAUGGUCUUGUGAUUAAAAACUCCGGUGCUGGGAGAUUGGCAUGCGUGACAUUAGCUAGUUGGCGGGGUAACGGCCCACCAAGGCGACGAUGUCUAGCUGGUCUGAGAGGAUGAUCAGCCACACUGGAACUGAGACACGGUCCAGACUCCUACGGGAGGCAGCAGUGGGAAUUUUGCGCAAUGGGGGAAACCCUGACGCAGCAACGCCGCGUGAGUGAUGAAGGCCUUGGUCGUAAGACUCUGUCAGAGG
rnacentral:rRNA from 1 species